GUAGGUGACAAAAUUGUCCUUGCUGAAUGCGACAACGGAGAUGAUCGGCAGCUAUUUCAA
rnacentral:tRNA from 1 species